rnacentral:miRNA from 1 species
CAAAGUUGAUCGUGUUUAUGGCGUCGAAUAUCGACGUCAUAAACACAAAGUUGAUCGUGUUUAUGACGUCGAAUAUCGACGUCAUAAACACCAAAG